rfam:Phanerochaete carnosa HHB-10118-sp unplaced genomic scaffold PHACAscaffold_14, whole genome shotgun sequence.
GGUAUUAUGCCUUAGUGGUAUAGCGCGCUGCGGUUACUUUCGGGCUGCGGGUUCGAUUCCCGCUUGUGCCA